GACGAACGCUGGCGGCGUGCCUAAUACAUGCAAGUCGAACGCAGUGGGGACGGGUGAGUAACACGUGGGUAACCUCCCAUCAGAGGGGAUAACACUUGGAAACAGGUGCUAAACCGAUACUGAUGGAUGAACCCGCGGUGGCUUAGCUAGUUGGUGAGGUAACGGCGCACCAAGGCCACGAUGCAGAGCCUGCCUGAGAGGGUGAUCGACCACACGGGGAGUGAUACACGGCCCAGACUCCUACGGGAGGCAGCAGUAGGGAAUCUUCGGCAAUGGACGAAAGUCUGAUCGAGCCACGACGCGUGAGUGAAGAAGGUUUUCGGAUCGUAAAGCUCUGUUGUUAGAGAAGCGGUAUCUAACCAGAAAGCCACGGCUAACUACGUGCCAGCCGCCGCGGUAAUAC
rnacentral:rRNA from 1 species